GCUUGUCUCAAAGAUUAAGCCAUGCAUGUCUAAGUAUAAGCAAACUUGUACUGUGAAACUGCGAAUGGCUCAUUAUAUCAGUUAUAGUUUAUUUGAUGGUUCUUGCUACUUGGAUAACCGUAGUAAUUCUAGAGCUAAUACAUGCGUCAAACCUCGACUUCUGGGAGAGGUGUAUUUAUUAGAUGGAAACCAAUGCGGGGCAACCCGGAUUAUGGUGAUUCAUAAUAACUUUCAGAUCGAUCGCAAGAUCGAUGCAUCAUUCAAGUUUCUGCCCUAUCAGCUUUGGAUGGUAGGGUAUUGGCCUACCAUGGCUUUAACGGGUAACGGAGAAUUAGGGUUCGAUUCCGGAGAGGGAGCCUGAGAAACGGCUACCACAUCCAAGGAAGGCAGCAGG
rnacentral:rRNA from 1 species